GAUGAACGCUAGCUACAGGCUUAACACAUGCAAGUCGAGGGACCGGCGCACGGGUGAGUAACACGUAUCCAACCUGCCCUUUACUCGGGGAUAGCCUUUCGAAAGAUAGAUUAAUACCCGAUAUAAAGGAUGGGGAUGCGUUCCAUUAGGUGGUGGGUGAGGUAACGGCCCACCAAGCCUUCGAUGGAUAGGCUUUCUGAGAGGAAGGUCCCCCACAGUUGAACUGAGACACGGUCCAAACUCCUACGGGAGGAAGCAGUGAGGAAUAUUGGGCAAUGGGCGUUAGCCUGAACCAGCCAAGUAGCGUGAAGGAUGAAGGCUUAUGGGUCGUAAACUUCUUUUAUAUAAGAAUAUGUAUUAUAUGAAUAAGGAUCGGCUAACUCCGUGCCAGCCGCCGCGGUAAUAC
rnacentral:rRNA from 1 species